GUGAGGAAUAUUGCGCAAUGGAGGCAACUCUGACGCAGCCAUGCCGCGUGCAGGAAGAAGGCGCUACGCGUUGUAAACUGCUUUUAACCGGGAAGAAACCCCAGGACGUGUCCUGGGUUGACGGUACCGGAGGAAUAAGCACCGGCUAACUUCGUGCCAGCAGCCGCGGUAAUACGAAGGGUGCAAGCGUUAUCCGGAUUCAUUGGGUUUAAAGGGUGCGUAGGCGGAGCGUUAAGUCAGUGGUGAAAUCCUGCAGCUUAACUGUAGACUUGCCAUUGAUACUGGCGCUCUUGAGUGCGCUUGAAGUGGGCGGAAUGUGCCGUGUAGCGGUGAAAAGCUUAGAUAUGGCACAGAACACCAAUUGCGAAGGCAGCUCACUAAGGCGAUACUGACGCUGAGGCACGAAAGCGUGGGGAUCGAACAGGAUUAGAAACCCCAGUAGUCC
rnacentral:rRNA from 1 species